rnacentral:lncRNA from 1 species
GAUUGAUUGAUUGAUUGAUUGUUGGUUGUUUAACGUCCAGUGGCAAAUAUUUCAUGCAUAUUCAGGACGAGAACAAGUUAACAAUAAAUACAAUAGGUAGGUUGUUAUAAUAGAGGAAGUUGGUCUGGGAAAUUUGGACUGCCACUGGAAAAUGAGGGUAUAUUGGAUACAGACAGAAAUUUUGCCUUGCAACAGGCCACCUACGGACCCCUCGAAGAGUUGUUGCAAGGGUUCUGAACGUGCAAAGAGCGUGGCACUCUCUUUACACGAGGCAUCGGAUUUAACGUCCCCUUCUGAUCGGACGUGACUGCGAACUUGAUACAUCCCGCACAGCCAAACGGACGCCCCAC